rnacentral:rRNA from 1 species
UACGGAGGGUGCAAGCGUUGUCCGGAUUUAUUGGGUUUAAAGGGUGCGUAGGCGGCCCGUUAAGUCAGUGGUGAAAGCCUCCAGCUCAACUGGAGAACUGCCAUUGAUACUGACGGGCUUGAGUACAGACGAGGUUGGCGGAAUUGAUGGUGUAGCGGUGAAAUGCAUAGAUACCAUCAAGAACUCCGAUUGCGUAGGCAGCUAACUAGGCUGUAACUGACGCUGAGGCACGAAAGCGUGGGGAGCGAGCAGG